UACGGGGGGAGCAAGCGUUGUUCGGAUUUACUGGGCGUAAAGGGCGCGUAGGCGGUCAGCACAAGUCAGUUGUGAAAUCUCCGGGCUUAACUCGGAAAGGUCAACUGAUACUGUGCGACUAGAGUGCAGAAGGGGCAACUGGAAUUCUCGGUGUAGCGGUGAAAUGCGUAGAUAUUGGGAAGAACACCGGUGGCGAAGGCGGCGACCUGGUCCGAUACUGACGCUGAGGCGCGAAAGCGUGGGGAGCAAACAGG
rnacentral:rRNA from 1 species